ACGAACGCUGGCGGCGUGCUUAACACAUGCAAGUCGUACGGCAAGGCCCUUUCGGGGGUCCCCGAGUGGCGAACGGGUGAGUAACACGUGAGUAACCUGCCCACAACUUUGGGAUAACGCUAGGAAACUGGUGCUAAUACUUGAUAUGUGCUCCUGCUGCAUGGCGGGGGUUGGAAAGCUCCGGCGGUUGUUGAUGGACUCGCGGCCUAUCAGCUUGUUGGUGGGGUAGUGGCUUACCAAGGCGGCGACGGGUAGCCGGCCUGAGGGGGUGACCGGCCACAUUGGGACUGAGAGACGGCCCAGACUCCUACGGGGGGCAACGGUGGGGAAUAUUGCACAAUGGGCGCGAGCCUGGUGCAGCAGCGCCGCGUGCGGGAUGACGGCCUUCGGGUUGUAAACCGCUUUCAGCAGGGACGAAGCAUUUUGUGACGGUACCUGCAGAAAAAGCACCGGCUAACUACGUG
rnacentral:rRNA from 1 species